rnacentral:rRNA from 1 species
ACCGGUCCUUCGGGACCGGGGAAAGCGGCGAACGGGUGAGUAACACGUGGGUAAUCAACCCUUGACUCUGGGAUAGCCCGGGGAAACUCGGAUUAAUACCGGAUGGCCCAACAGCUCUUCGGGGCGGUUGGAAAAGGUAGCUUCGGCCUCCGGUCAGGGACGAGCCCGCGGCGGAUUAGCUUGUUGGUGAGGUAACGGCUCACCAAGGCGACGAUCCGUAGCUGGUCUGAGAGGACGAUCAGCCACACUGGAACUGAGACACGGUCCAGACUCCUACGGGAGGCAGCAGUGGGGAAUCUUGCACAAUGGGCGAAAGCCUGAUGCAGCGACGCCGCGUGGGGGAUGAAGCUUCUCGGA